UCCUACGGGAGGCAGCAGUGGGGAAUAUUGGACAAUGGGCGCAAGCCUGAUCCAGCCAUACCGCGUGGGUGAAGAAGGCCUUCGGGUUGUAAAGCCCUUUUGUUGGGAAAGAAAUCCUGUCGAUUAAUACUCGGUGGGGAUGACGGUACCCAAAGAAUAAGCACCGGCUAACUUCGUGCCAGCAGCCGCGGUAAUACGAAGGGUGCAAGCGUUACUCGGAAUUACUGGGCGUAAAGCGUGCGUAGGUGGUGGUUUAAGUCUGCUGUGAAAGCCCUGGGCUCAACCUGGGAAUUGCAGUGGAUACUGGAUCACUAGAGUGUGGUAGAGGGAUGCGGAAUUUCUGGUGUAGCAGUGAAAUGCGUAGAGAUCAGAAGGAACAUCCGUGGCGAAGGCGGCAUCCUGGGCCAACACUGACACUGAGGCACGAAAGCGUGGGGAGCAAACAGGAUUAGAUACCCUGGUAGUCCACGCCCUAAACGAUGCGAACUGGAUGUUGGGUGCAACUUGGCACCCAGUAUCGAAGCUAACGCGUUAAGUUCGCCGCCUGGGGAGUACGGUCGCAAGACUGAAACUCAAAGGAAUUGACGG
rnacentral:rRNA from 1 species